rnacentral:RNase_P_RNA from 1 species
CCAGCUGGCCGGGCGGCCGCACCCGCGAAGCCGAAAGGCUGCGGGUGAGGAAAGUCCGGGCUCCAUGGAGACACGGUGCCGGUUAAUGGCCGGCGGGGGCGACCCUAGGGAAAGUGCCACAGAAAGCAAACCGCCACGGUUUUACCGUGGUAAGGGUGAAAGGGUGGGGUAAGAGCCCACCGCGCGACUGGCAACAGGAGCGGCACGGUAAACCCCACCGGGAGCAAGACCGAAUAGGGACGGUGCGAGGGG